rnacentral:rRNA from 1 species
ACCUCGGUUAUGUUGAUCAAGCUUUGUAUCAACGAUGGGAGCAGUCAUACAGUAAACUGGGCAGGCAACUUCACAGCCUGCUGGAUAAAUGGAAGUCCAACAUCUGACCUCUUACUUCUGACCUCCAGUGUGGUAGGGGAGCGUCCCCAGUGCAUCGAAGUCGUGUCGUGAGGCACGGUGGAGUGCUGGGGAGUGAGAAUGCCGGUGUGAGUAACGAAAAGAGGGGUGAGAAUCCCCUCCGCCGAAAGCCUAAGGUUUCCUGAGGAAGGUUCGUCCGCUCAGGGUAAGUCGGGACCUAAGCCGAGGCUGAAAAGCGUAGGCGAUGGACAACAGGUGGAAAUUCCUGUACCACCUUCCGCCGUUUGAGUGACGGGGGGACGCAGGAGGGUAGGAGAUCGCGCUGUUGGAUAUGCGCGUCCAAGCGGUGAGGCUGAAGGGAGAGGCAAAUCCAUCCCUUCAAGGCUGGGCCGUGAUGGCGAGGGAAAUGACAGUACCGAAGUCUUUGAUCUCACACUGCCAAGAAAAGCCUCUAGCGAGGCGGAAGGUGCCCGUACCGCAAACCGACACAGGUAGGCGAGGAGAGAAUCCUCAGGCGCGCGGGAAAACUCUCGUUAAGGAACUCGGCAAAAUGACCCCGUAACUUCGGGAGAAGGGGUGCCCCGGCAGGGUGGUCUUCGGACUGCUCGAGGGGGCCGCAGUGAAUAGGCCCAAGCGACUGUUUAGCAAAAACACAGGUCUCUGCGAAGCCGCAAGGCGAAGUAUAGGGGCUGACGCCUGCCCGGUGCUGGAAGGUUAAGGGGAAGGGUUAGCACUCCCACCCCAAAAAGCACUACUUUUUGGGGACCCCGGGGGGAGCGAAGCUCUGAACCGAAGCCCCAGUAAACGGCGGCCGUAACUAUAACGGUCCUAAGGUAGCGAAAUUCCUUGUCGGGUAAGUUCCGACCCGCACGAAAGGCGUAACGACUUGGGCGCUGUCUCAACGAGAGACCCGGUGAAAUCGUAGUACCCGUGAAGAUGCGGGUUACCUGUGACAGGACGGAAAGACCCCGUGAAGCUUUACUGUAGCCUGAUAUUGGAUCUUGGUACGGUUUGUACAGGAUAGGUGGGAGCCGUGGAGUCCGGGCCGCCAGGUUCGGAGGAGGCACUGGUGGGAUACCACCCUGAUCGUGCCGGGGUUCUAACCGAGCACCGUGAUCCGGUGUCGGGACCGUGUCAGGUGGGCAGUUUGACUGGGGCGGUCGCCUCCUAAAGCGUAACGGAGGCGCCCCAAGGUUCCCUCAGCGCGGUUGGAAAUCGCGCGGUAGAGUGCAAAGGCAGAAGGGAGCUUGACUGCGAGACCUACAAGUCGAGCAGGGACGAAAGUCGGGCUUAGUGAUCCGGUGGUUCCGAGUGGAAGGGCCAUCGCUCAACGGAUAAAAGCUACUCCGGGGAUAACAGGCUGAUCUCCCCCAAGAGUCCACAUCGACGGGGAGGUUUGGCACCUCGAUGUCGGCUCGUCGCAUCCUGGGGCUGUAGUCGGUCCCAAGGGUUGGGCUGUUCGCCCAUUAAAGCGGUACGCGAGCUGGGUUCAGAACGUCGUGAGACAGUUCGGUCCCUAUCCGUCACAGGCGCAGGAAAUUUGAGAGGAGCCGUCCUUAGUACGAGAGGACCGGGAUGGACGCACCGCUGGUGUACCAGUUGUGUCGCCAGAUGCAUCGCUGGGUAGCCAAGUGCGGAAGGGAUAAGCGCUGAAAGCAUCUAAGCGCGAAGCCCCCCUCAAGAUGAGAUUUCCCAUCCUUUAUGGAGUAAGACCCCUCGAAGAUGACGAGGUAGAUCGGUCCGGGGUGUACGCGUGGCAACACGUUCAGCUGACGGAUACGAAUCGGUCGAGGACUUCUCCU